ensembl:piRNA 21ur-4368 ncRNA
UCGGUCUCUACUCACUCCCAC